AGGACGAACGCUGGCGGCGUGCUUAACACAUGCAAGUCGAGCGGAAAGGCCCUUCGGGGUACUCGAGCGGCGAACGGGUGAGUAACACGUGAGUAAUCUGCCCCUAGCUCUGGGAUAGCUCCGGGAAAACCGGGAUUAAUACCAGAUACGACCACUUUAGACAUCUGUUGUGGUGGAAAGAAUUUCGGCUAGGGAUGAGCUCGCGGCCUAUCAGCUUGUUGGUGAGGUAACGGCUCACCAAGGCGACGACGGGUAGCCGGCCUGAGAGGGCGACCGGCCACACUGGGACUGAGACACGGCCCAGACUCCUACGGGAGGCAGCAGUGGGGAAUAUUGCGCAAUGGGCGAAAGCCUGACGCAGCGACGCCGCGUGGGGGAUGAAGGCCUUCGGGUUGUAAACCCUUUCAGCAGGGACGAAGCGAAAGUGACGGUACCUGCAGAAGAAGCGCCGGCUAACUACGCGCCAGCAGCCGC
rnacentral:rRNA from 1 species